rnacentral:lncRNA from 1 species
GUGAUAGAGUGGAGGGCUGGAAUGGAAAAGAAAGGUUUCAAGAAAAGGGCUGUUGAAGCAAACUAAGAGAGGCUGACCCUAGCUCCAGCAGCAGGACUUGAUUCCCAGACCACUCUUUCAGAGGAGGGCACUGAACAACCAGGGAAGCUAUCCCCUGAAUUUGUUCUCAGGUGAGCCGAGGCAGUGGAGAUAAACUCUGUUACCUUCAUUGGGAAAAAGGAACAAAUAAAUUAAGAAAUAAGACAGGGAUCCCUGGAAGAAGAGUAUAGGAAAAAUGUACCACAUUGGCUUGGCUUUCUCUUCAGACCCAAUCUGGAAAUCUUCUAAGAGAAGUGGGAGGUUUGAAAAGGAGGCUAGAGAGUGAGUUAUGUGUAAAGAUGCCAGGGUGGCUGCUCAGAUAGCUGUCCUUUCCUCCACCCCAUGAGCGGUGGUGGCCGACAGCUCUCUGUUGAGUCCCUCUCUGGGAUUUGCCAGGGCCAAGGUCAUGCCCACCUCCUGGGACGGUCUGCACCAAUGAGUGAUCAUUGUGGGCAUGGCCCGUUGACUUAAUUUGGGACAUUUCUGACCUCCCCAUGGGUAAGCCGAGGCUUGGAUUCUGAUGACACUGAAGUUCAACGUCUCCCUUUACACGGUCCUACUUCCUUUGCCUCCCAACAGGUCUCGAUCCACCGAGCACCCCUAAUGAACCUUCCUGGACCUACGUCUCCAUCCGAAGUCUAUUUCCGGGGAAGCUCAUCUGCAGCAUUAAGGAAAUGAAGCCUGGCGGUUGGAGAGAGGAUGUAGCUGAACGGCUUCUUCUCCUCUAGGAAAAUCAGUGAGGCUGAAGAACAGAGAACGGCUUCCGGCUGUCUGGUUUCCUUCGGGCCAAGGUCUCUGGGCAAGGUGCUUUCCAAGCCUGUGUAACCAAGCAGAAAUCCCUAGGGAGUGUAUAAAUUCAAGUUUCUGCCAUGCAGGAGAGGAAACUGCCAUACCCACAAAUGCCUCAUCCACAGCCAACUUGACAUUCUUCACAGUGAGCCGUGAGUUCUGUAGCCUCAUGACAUACCUAAUUUGUGUUGCAUUUUGAAUAUUCUUGAAAAUGUCCAUAUAAUGAGAGGAAAACAAUAUGUGUCUAAGCAGAGCCUUGUCUCCAUGUGCAAAUCUUCUGGCAGAAGCCACAUUAAUGCUAAUGAAAUCUGAAUGCUAAAGCCCGUCCCGCAGUGGGUGGAUGGUCUCUGUGCUGAAACACAUUUUCUUCUCAUUAGCACCACCAUCUUUAUUAAUAUUAACAGUAAUAAUGAGAAUUAGGGAGGCUGGGUUCUGGCAGAACCCAGAAUUAGUGUGUGUGUGUGCCGGGG